GAUGAACGCUGGCGGCGUGCUUAACACAUGCAAGUCGAACGGGAAUUACUUUAUUGAAACUUCGGUCGAUUUAAUUUAAUUCUAGUGGCGGACGGGUGAGUAACGCGUGGGUAACCUGCCUUGUACAGGGGGAUAACAGUCAGAAAUGGCUGCUAAUACCGCAUAAGCGCACAGGACCGCAUGGUCCGGUGUGAAAAACUCCGGUGGUAUAAGAUGGACCCGCGUUGGAUUAGCUUGUUGGCAGGGUAACGGCCUACCAAGGCGACGAUCCAUAGCCGGCCUGAGAGGGUGAACGGCCACAUUGGGACUGAGACACGGCCCAGACUCCUACGGGAGGCAGCAGUGGGGAAUAUUGCACAAUGGGGGAAACCCUGAUGCAGCGACGCCGCGUGAAGGAAGAAGUAUCUCGGUAUGUAAACUUCUAUCAGCAGGGAAGAGAUUGACGGU
rnacentral:rRNA from 1 species